rnacentral:rRNA from 1 species
UACGUAGGGGGCAAGCGUUGUCCGGAUUUAUUGGGCGUAAAGAGCGUGUAGGCGGCCAGAUAGGUCCGUUGUGAAACUGGAGGCUUAACCUCCAGCUGUCGAUGGAAACCAUCUGGCUAGAGUCCGGAAGAGGAGAGUGGAAUUCCUGGUGUAGCGGUGAAAUGCGCAGAUAUCAGGAAGAACACCCGUGGCGAAGGCGGCUCUCUGGGACGGUACUGACGCUGAGACGCGAAAGCGUGGGGAGCGAACAGG